UACGUAGGGGGCAAGGCGUUGUCCGGAAUCAUUGGGCGUAAAGAGCGUGUAGGCGGCUCGAUAAGUCUGUUCUGAAAGUCCAGGGCUCAACCCUGGGAUGCGGAUGGAUACUGUCGAGCUCGAGUCCGGAAGAGGCGAGUGGAAUUCCUGGUGUAGCGGUGAAAUGCGCAGAUAUCGGGAGGAACACCGGUGGCGAAGGCGGUUCUCUGGGCCUUA
rnacentral:rRNA from 1 species